rnacentral:rRNA from 1 species
CUGGUGCCAGCAGCCGCGGUAAUUCCAGCUCCAAUAGCGUAUAUUAAAGUUGUUGCAGUUAAAAAGNUCCGUAGUUGAAUUUCGAGAUCAAUUUGUUGGUCGUGCCUCGGUACGUACUGGCAAUUUUGAUUUCUCCCUUCUGAAGAACCAUGAUGUCAUUAAUUUGGUGUCAUGGGGAAUCAGGACCGUUACUUUGAAAAAUUAGAGUGUUUAAAGCAGGCUCGCGCUUGAAUACAUUAGCGUGGAAUAAUGAAAUAGGACGUUUGAUUCUAUUUUGUUGGUUUCUAGGGAUCGACGUAAUGAUUAAUAGGGAUAUUGGGGGCAUUAGUAUUCAAUUGUCAGAGGUGAAAUUCUUGGAUUUAUUGAAGACUAACUACUGCGAAAGCAUUUGCCAAGGAUGUUUUCAUUAAUCAAGAACGAAAGUUAGGGGGAUCGAAGACGAUCAGAUACCGUCGUAGUCUUAACCAUAAACUAUGCCGACUAGGGAUCGGAUGAUGUUAAUUUUUUAAUGACUCAUUCGGCGCCUUACGG